GGGCCCGCACAAGCGGUGGAUUAUGUGGUUUAAUUCGAAGCAACGCGAAGAACCUUACCAGGAUUUGACAUCCUACUAACGAAGUAGAGAUACAUUAGGUGCCCUUCGGGGAAAGUAGAGACAGGUGGUGCAUGGUUGUCGUCAGCUCGUGUCGUGAGAUGUUGGGUUAAGUCCCGCAACGAGCGCAACCCUUAUUGUUAGUUGCUACGCAAGAGCACUCUAGCGAGACUGCCGUUGACAAAACGGAGGAAGGUGGGGACGACGUCAAAUCAUCAUGCCCUUUAUGUCCUGGGCUACACACGUAAUACAAUGGCGGCCAACAGAGGGAAGCAAUACCGUGAGGAGGAGCAAAUCCCUAAAAGCCGUCUCAGUUCGGAUCGCAGGCUGCAACCCGCCUGCGUGAAGUCGGAAUCGCUAGUAAUCGCGGAUCAGCAUGCCG
rnacentral:rRNA from 1 species